AUAAAAUUUAAAGUAUUAUUUAUAAUGUACCAAUUAGUAUAUAUAUUAAACAUAAUUAANGAACUCGACAGCUACUGUGUACGACUGUUUAACAAAAACAUAGCUUUAAGAUAUAAAUAUUUAAAGUUUAGUCUGCCCAGUGGAAUUUCUUAACGGCCGCAGNACCCUGACUGUGCAAAGGUAGCAUAAUCAGUUGGCUUUUAAUUGGAGUCUGGAAUCAACGAAAGCACGUAUAUAUAUUGUCUCACCUAUAAUAUUUAAAAAUUAUUUUAAAGAGUGAAAAUCCUCUUACCCAUUAAAAAUAGACGAGAAGACCCUUUGAAUUUUUAAAACUUAUAUGAUUACAUAUAAUAUUUUUUGUUGGGGCAACAUUAUUUCAUAUAAUAAAUAAAUCUUUAUUUUAAUAAUAUAUAGCGAUAAAUUUAAUCUU
rnacentral:rRNA from 1 species